UGAUUUAAUGAUUCAGCAAUAAGGUGUAAUAAUACUUUCAUAGCAUGGUGAAUGUCUAAGGCUAUUGUCUGAUUUCGUUUGUGCUCUUUGAUCAGUGGUCCUUUCACACUGGAGGAGGUGCCAGUUUCCAGCUGCACAGGUUUCAUAUUGUCAUAGUCUUAGCAAUUGAAUACAUAAAUAUGAUCCAAGGCUAUAAUUCUUUUUGAUGA